rnacentral:rRNA from 1 species
GCGAUUUCCGAAUGGGGAAACCCAGUGUGUUUCGACACACUAUCAUUAACUGAAUCCAUAGGUUAAUGAGGCGAACCGGGGGAACUGAAACAUCUAAGUACCCCGAGGAAAAGAAAUCAACCGAGAUUCCCCCAGUAGCGGCGAGCGAACGGGGAGGAGCCCAGAGCCUGAAUCAGUGUGUGUGUUAGUGGAAGCGUCUGGAAAGGCGCGCGAUACAGGGUGACAGCCCCGUACACAAAAAUGCACAUAUUGUGAGCUCGAUGAGUAGGGCGGGACACGUGGUAUCCUGUCUGAAUAUGGGGGGACCAUCCUCCAAGGCUAAAUACUCCUGACUGACCGAUAGUGAACCAGUACCGUGAGGGAAAGGCGAAAAGAACCCCGGCGAGGGGAGUGAAAAAGAACCUGAAACCGUGUACGUACAAGCAGUGGGAGCCUCUUUAUGGGGUGACUGCGUACCUUUUGUAUAAUGGGUCAGCGACUUAUAUUCUGUAGCAAGGUUAACCGAAUAGGGGAGCCGAAGGGAAACCGAGUCUUAACUGGGCGUUAAGUUGCAGGGUAUAGACCCGAAACCCGGUGAUCUAGCCAUGGGCAGGUUGAAGGUUGGGUAACACUAACUGGAGGACCGAACCGACUAAUGUUGAAAAAUUAGCGGAUGACUUGUGGCUGGGGGUGAAAGGCCAAUCAAACCGGGAGAUAGCUGGUUCUCCCCGAAAGCUAUUUAGGUAGCGCCUCGUGAAUUCAUCUCCGGGGGUAGAGCACUGUUUCGGCAAGGGGGUCAUCCCGACUUACCAACCCGAUGCAAACUGCGAAUACCGGAGAAUGUUAUCACGGGAGACACACGGCGGGUGCUAACGUCCGUCGUGAAGAGGGAAACAACCCAGACCGCCAGCUAAGGUCCCAAAGUCAUGGUUAAGUGGGAAACGAUGUGGGAAGGCCCAGACAGCCAGGAUGUUGGCUUAGAAGCAGCCAUCAUUUAAAGAAAGCGUAAUAGCUCACUGGUCGAGUCGGCCUGCGCGGAAGAUGUAACGGGGCUAAACCAUGCACCGAAGCUGCGGCAGCGACACUAUGUGUUGUUGGGUAGGGGAGCGUUCUGUAAGCCUGUGAAGGUGGCCUGUGAGGGUUGCUGGAGGUAUCAGAAGUGCGAAUGCUGACAUAAGUAACGAUAAAGCGGGUGAAAAGCCCGCUCGCCGGAAGACCAAGGGUUCCUGUCCAACGUUAAUCGGGGCAGGGUGAGUCGACCCCUAAGGCGAGGCCGAAAGGCGUAGUCGAUGGGAAACAGGUUAAUAUUCCUGUACUUGGUGUUACUGCGAAGGGGGGACGGAGAAGGCUAUGUUGGCCGGGCGACGGUUGUCCCGGUUUAAGCGUGUAGGCUGGUUUUCCAGGCAAAUCCGGAAAACCAAGGCUGA